rnacentral:tRNA from 2 species
GUGAAUGUAGCUCAGCUGGUAGAGCACCAGAUUGUGGCUCUGGGGGUCGCGGGUUCGAGUCCCGUCAUUCACCCCA